rnacentral:rRNA from 1 species
GUAGGUGGCAAGCGUUGUCCGGAAUUAUUGGGCGUAAAGCGCGCGCAGGCGGGGUCCUUUAAGUCUGAUGUGAAAGCCCACGGGCUCAACCGUGGAGGGUCAUUGGAAACUGGGGGACUUGAGUACAGAAGAGGAAAGCGGAACUCCAAGUGUAGUGGUGAAAUGCGUAGAGAUUUGGAGGAACACCAGUGGCGAAGGCGGCUUUCUGGUCUGUAACUGACGCUGAGGCGCGAAAGCGUGGGGAGCAAACAGGAUUAGAUACCCUGGUAGUCCACGCCGUAAACGAUGAGUGCUAAGUGUUAGGGGGUUUCCGCCCCUUGGUGCUGCAGCUAACGCAUUAAGCACUCCGCCUGGGGAGUACGGCCGCAAAGGCUG